GAUGAACGCUGGCGGCGUGCCUAACACAUGCAAGUCGAGCGAACAGACGAUGAGCUUGCUCCGCUCACGUGAGCGGCGCGCGUGUGAGUAACACGUGUAUCACGUCCCUAUAUUACUGGGAUCACUUCGGGAAACCGGCGCUAAUACCGGAUAAUAUAUUGAACCGCGUGGUUCGAUAGUAAAAGACGGUUUUGCGGUCACUUAUCGAUGCUUCCCGGCCGCAUUAGCUAGUUGUUACGGUAACGGCCUACCAAGGCAACCAUGCGUAGCCGACCGAAGAGGGUGAUCGCCCGCACUGGAACUGGGACACGGUCCAGACUCCUACGGGAGGGAGCAGUAGGGAACCGGACGCAGUGGGCGAAAGCCUGACGGAGUAACGGCGCGUCAGUGAUGAAGGUCUUCGGAGCGUAAUACUCGGUUAUUAGUGAAGAACAAAUGUGUAAUUAACUAUGCACGUCGUGACGGUACCUAGUAAGAAAGCAACGGCUAACUACGUG
rnacentral:rRNA from 1 species